rnacentral:rRNA from 1 species
ACUCAAAUGAAUAGACGGGGGCCCGCACAAGCGGUGGAGCAUGUGGUUCAAUUCGACGCAACGCGAAGAACCUUACCCAGGCUUGAACAGCGAGUGACCACUUCCGAAAGGAAGCUUCCGCAAGGACACUCGUAGAGGUGCUGCAUGGCUGUCGUCAGCUCGUGUCGUGAGAUGUUGGGUUAAGUCCCGCAACGAGCGCAACCCUUGUCUACUGUUGCCAUCAGGUUAUGCUGGGCACUCUGUAGAGACUGCCGGUGAUAAACCGGAGGAAGGUGGGGAUGACGUCAAGUCAGCAUGGCCUUUAUGUCUGGGGCUACACACGUGCUACAAUGGCAGAUACAAACCGUCGCGAGACCGCAAGGUGGAGCUAAUCGGAGAAAGUCUGUCUCAGUUCGGAUCGUAGGCUGCAACUCGCCUGCGUGAAGUUGGAAUCGCUAGUAAUCGCGGAUCAGCACGCCGCGGUGAAUACGUUCCCGGGCCUUGUACACACCGCCCGU